UCGCGGCUUAUCACCGGCAGUCCCCUUAGAGUGCCCAACUGAAUGAUGGCAACUAAGGGCGAGGGUUGCGCUCGUUGCGGGACUUAACCCAACAUCUCGCGACACGAGCUGACGACAGCCAUGCACCACCUGUGAAAGUGCCCCGAAGGGAAGCCGUGUUUCCACGGCGGUCACUCACAUGUCAAGCCCAGGUAAGGUUCUUCGCGUUGCGUCGAAUUAAACCACAUGCUCCGCUGCUUGUGCGGGCCCCCGUCAAUUCCUUUGAGUUUUAGCCUUGCGGCCGUAGUCCCCGGGCGGCGGACUUAUCGCGUUAGCUGCGGCACCGAGGGGGUCGAUACCCCGACACCUAGUCCGCGUCGUUUACAGCGUGGACUAC
rnacentral:misc_RNA from 1 species